rnacentral:rRNA from 1 species
CCGAGUUUCACUCCCAAACCCCUGUGAACAUACCAAUUGUUGCCUCGGCGGAUCAGCCCGCUCCCGGUAAAACGGGACGGCCCGCCAGAGGACCCCUAAACUCUGUUUCUAUAUGUAACUUCUGAGUAAAACCAUAAAUAAAUCAAAACUUUCAACAACGGAUCUCUUGGUUCUGGCAUCGAUGAAGAACGCAGCAAAAUGCGAUAAGUAAUGUGAAUUGCAGAAUUCAGUGAAUCAUCGAAUCUUUGAACGCACAUUGCGCCCGCCAGUAUUCUGGCGGGCAUGCCUGUUCGAGCGUCAUUUCAACCCUCAAGCCCUCGGGUUUGGUGUUGGGGAUCGGCGAGCCCUUGCGGCAAGCCGGCCCCGAAAUCUAGUGGCGGUCUCGCUGCAGCUUCCAUUGCGUAGUAGUAAAACCCUCGCAACUGGUACGCGGCGCGGCCAAGCCGUUAAACCCCCAACUUCUGAAUGUGACCUCGGAUCAGGUAGGAAUACCCGCUG